GACGAACGCUGGCGGCGUGCUUGACACAUGCAAGUCGAACGGUAAGGCCCUUCGGGGUACACGAGUGGCGAACGGGUGAGUAACACGUGGGUGAUCUACCCUGCACUUCGGGAUAAGCCUGGGAAACUGGGUCUAAUACCGGAUAGGACCACUGCCUGCAUGGGUGGUGGUGGAAAGCUUUUGCGGUGUGGGAUGGGCCCGCGGCCUAUCAGCUUGUUGGUGGGGUGAUGGCCUACCAAGGCGACGACGGGUAGCCGGCCUGAGAGGGUGACCGACCACACUGGGACUGAGAUACGGCCCAGACUCCUACGGGAGGCAGCAGUGGGGAAUAUUGCACAAUGGGCGCAAGCCUGAUGCAGCGACGCCGCGUGAGGGAUGACGGCCUUCGGGUUGUAAACCUCUUUCAGCACCGACGAAGCGCAAGUGACGGUAGGUGCAGAAGAAGGACCGGCCAACUACGUGCCAGCCGCCGCAGUAA
rnacentral:rRNA from 1 species